GUUUUAUUUUUCGUUUUUGCGUACUCCCGGUUUACCCCCAAAUCGUCCAAAAUCGAGAAUUUUCCUUUUAAUUUAAUCAAGUUAUAUCAGCAAUUUCAGCGGUAAGGCGACCGUAGAACUCCAAAGACAGAAGAACUCCAAAAACAUAAGAACUCCUUUUUUAAAUAUUAUUAAAAAUACCCGACACUAGAACUCCACUACGCGACAAUAGAACUCCAAUAAAUUAUUUAAUUAUAUUCAUGUUCGACAAUAAAAUAGAACUCUAUUGAAUUUAAAAUAUUUUAAAUGUCCAACUCUCGACAUGGAAAUAACUGAGUUCAGGAAAAAUCUCGAUUUUGACCAAAUCUUGGAUUUCGUUUGAAUUACACCGAAUCGACCUCAAAUUUAACGAAGAUCAUGAAAAAUUGAUUUAUUUUGCCGAUAGCUCAGUGGUUAAGGCGCUAUCGCUUACUUCCGGUAUACUUCCGGAAAAUUUGCAUAAAACUAAUAAGUGAACUUUGUUCUAGGUAAAUUUCUAAGGAUUUCAAGCUAGAUUUCAGCAAAAAAAAGUGCACCGUUCAAGUUAUAUCAAUAUCUAAAGAACUGUAUUGCUUUGGGUUACAUGUUUCUGUUAUCCGAGUUUCAGACGUGUCCAAUAGAUGGCAUGUGUCCUCUUUUGUUUAUGUCAUGGCGGAUUCAUGGCAGAUUUUUGUUUUGUUGUCAAAAGUUUCCUUUUAUUCCUCGAAAACUACCGAUUAUUUCAUGGAUCAAUUCAAGUUCAUUUCUGUGCAAGUUGUUGGUGAUGUGAUUUAUUUCGUAUUUAUAUUGGAUCACCUUUCAUAUUUCUCAUUAUAACCUGUAGCUGUAGUAGGAAGGAACGCGAAUGGAAACAGUAGCCUAAAAAUCGUCCUUUUGCUGAAUGCAUCAUCCAGUCAAGUCAAUACAGGUCACUAACACCAGCAUGGCCACAAUGUUGUUUCUUUCCGAACAUGUUUUCUACAAAUUAUGCAUUGACAGACAAAGAAAGCUUUGGGAACAUAUUCAAGGCCAUGGGUAAUCUUCAGGUUAAUUGCAGCAACUUUGGAGAAGUCACAUGAAAAGAUGCAGGGCACAUACCAACAUGUGUUGUAUUUAUCUGAAUUUUUUACUCUAGCAGUAGAUUCAACAUAACUGUUUGAUGCCAAAGUUAGUUGGAACUCUAACUCAAACACAGAUAACCUGCUGCCUUACAGUCACAGGCAGGAAAAUAAUUCCUUUCUUCAGAAAAUUGUGGCUAAAAUGGAUUGUCCCCCAUCCACCAGGUGGUGCGAGUGUCUUCGUGAAGACGAAAUAUUUGCCAUAUGUUUCCGAGACGCUGACUGAAAGUGUAUUUCAAAUACUGUCGAUCUACAUUUUCAGCCAUGAAAUGUAAUUGGCAAUGUGGCUUUUAAUUUCACUUGGCCAAAUAAUGUGACCACUUGGGUCGAAACUGCUGUCCAUUUGGCCGAAAUGUCGGCCAUUCGUACCCACUUCAGAGCUAGUAAAUUGAUGUUUUGGUCAGAGAUGGAGAUCCCUUUGCUCAACUGUUGCAGAAGUUGAGAACACAAUAAAGUCUGACCUUCAUGGCUGUCAUAUCAUUAACAUGGUUUUGUUGUUGCCAGCUGGUGAAAGGUGUGAUGGAGUCAAGUUGAGCUGCAGCUGCUGCAUCCAGUUUAUCGAGAUGGUGUUAUCCUGAAGUGUCACUGCAGGAAGAUUUUGAUUUGCCAGGUGAAGUCUGCGCUUCUUUGUUGCAGUCUUAUGUGCGCAUGGAUUCGUUGCAGUCAUCCAGUGAAAGGUGUGAUUAAAUGGAGCUGUUGCAUGCAGUCUUUGGUGCUGAUGUUGUCCUGGAGUGUGGGAGAGUCCCAUGCUUCAAGUCUUCUGUGAUCAGCCAUAUCUGAGUUGACGCUGGAUCAUGCUGCAUUGUGGUUGCCGAAAUGUUGGACAUCUAGUAGAACUGCAAGAAGACUCCUUGAAAUGGUUUAUGUUUACGUAGCAGUGAUGUUGCUGUCCAAUAUGGCAUGUUGUUGCAGCCUAUACUGGUGAAAGUUUUUUUGCAUCGAGUUAUGCUGUUGCUGUUCCUUGGUGCCGGACUGCUGGUGUUGUGCACAAAAGUUACAUCCAGUUUUAAUUGUUAUUUGCGUCUAUGAAGUUAACCGUUUAUAUGUUGAGAAUGAAAAAAAUAGUAAUACGGGGAAUUUUUACGUUGAACAAAUAAUAAACAUGCCUUCGCGAUUGGGAAAUCAGUGAGGAGGAGAUUGGGGGGAGGGGGGCAAUUGAUUUUCAUUUCGUGGUUUGUUUUAAUAACGUUGACAUAAAAUCCUUUGUCUAUCACAUCCAUAUACCUACCUAUAUAACAACAUCUAUUCCUCAAACCCCAUAACAUCCACCAACAUCCAUUCCUUAAACCCCAUAUCUUCCACCAACACCCAUUUCUUGAACCCCAUUUCCCCACAAAUGUCAAAUAUCUCUAAUAUGUAAAAGUUACUGAUGAAUAAAUAAACCAUCUAUGUAAAUA